AAUGCCAAUAUUAAUGCUGCUCAACCUUAUUUCCUUUGGUAAUGAUAUUUCUCCAUACACUUCAUGGGAAAUAUCAAAUGAAACCACAAAAUGAUUUUUUGAUUUACCAACCCAAUGAAAUGCAUCAUGUAUAAAUGCCAAAAAUGCAUACCAUGCACCAUAUAGCAAAUGUCACAAGGAUAUUCAACAAUUUCUCCAAGAUAGAAUUUCACAAGGUCGAGUCAAAACACAUUCCCAAACAUGAAAAUUCCUCCAUUGGGAAUUCUGGAGUGGAAAGUACAAUUGAUUCUCCAGUGGAGGGAUUCUAUAGCAAAAGUAUUUGGCGUUCAACACUAUCUUCAUGAACAUUGAUAAUAACCAAUCCAUCACAACAACAAUAGACUAUGCAAUGUCGUGGUUCAAUAUUUAAAGGGAAAUUUAGUUCCCGUAUAUCCUCUAGAAAUUGCACCGAUGAUAUCGAACAACAAUAAAUUGAAAAUAGACUUCUUAGGGCGCAAUUUGAAGAACAGAAAUUUUUGGAAAGUUUUGUCAUUCUUGGCAUGAGUGAGAUUCUUCUUCUUGAAAUAUGACUCAUUAAUCAGUGUACCCCAAAGUUUUGAAACACAUUUAAAUUGAAGAAGAGACCGUACAGGCAACCUACUGUAGAAAAAUUUCCACAAGUUUAUUCUCUUCAGAGUGAACAUCCAUGGCCUAGAUAGAUAAGAAAAUUCUAUCACGCCCCUUUUUUAAGUAUUGAAAUGUUAUAUAAUUAUCACCAUAAGUUUUAUAAUGAUAAACUAGAAAGCUUGUUAAUUUAUAUUAUCUUCUAUUACCAAAAUAAAAAUAGAGUAUAAAAAGAUGAGAAAAUUUUAACAAGAGAAAGAAUCUAAGUCCUUUGUCAGUUGAAACAUGAGAGAGAAACUAAUAAGGCAAGCACUUCAAGAAUUUUUAACUAUUCAGUGAAGCUAUAAAACUGGUAUAAGGAUCAUAUAUUUUUCACCGACUCGUAAUUUUAAUAUUUUUGUGGUUGAGACAAUUAAUGUUUAAAAGAGAUGCAUUCUUGUUCUACUAAAGUUUACCAAUAGGUGUGUGUUUGGUAUGAAAAAAAGAUUAAAUCUUAGGCUUGUUUUUUUUUU